UUGAUUAUAUUUUCUUGCUCACUCCUCUGAUCACCUUGAAAAAUUUGGUAAGUAAUGGAUGCUCUGCUCUUGAUUAGUUAUGCAUUCUAAGAUGGAUGUGAACUUUUGCAGGUUCCAUCAGGAGAGAUUUCGACAUAUGGUGAUGAUAGUUUUGUUCAAUUUGAAGAGGCUGGAAUAAAAAAAACACAAAAGGUUGCAUUUGUUCUUGUUGCUGGAAGCCUCAGAGAACGUCUUGGGUACAGUGAAAUAAAGAUGGCAGAAUCAGCAAAAGGGGCAUCUCCAACUGUGAAAGCAAAAGACAAAGAAUCUGGAUAUUGUAACAUUAUAUAUUGCUAUGUUGAAGGUGAUGUCGCAACACAACACCCAAAGAAGAAGACGUUUAAGAAGUUCAAUUCACAAAAGCCGGUCUUAGUUCUCCACCACUGCUGCCAACAAUGUACCACAACUCUAGCACUGUUUGUACCUACAAAUGAUUAUAUGUAAUACUUUCACAAGCUAACAACAUAACAAUGUAAUCUUUGUUCCACAUGCUAUGAAGCACAACUCUUUGUACCACAUAUUAUGAAACAUAACUAUUUUAUCUUCAAUCAUAUGCACAGGCAUGGG